UUAUGUCAUUUUGAUUUAGAAAAGUGUCUUGAACUUCCAUUUAGAAAAGUGUCUUGAACUUCCAUUUUGCAAAAGGGGUAAACAUAGGGGGGUCAAAAUUGCUAUUUUGAAACAUAGGAGGCCAAAAUCGUAACUUUUUGAAAUUUAGGGGGCCAAAAGUGCUAUUUUGAAACAUAGGGGGUCAAAAUUGCAACUUCCUGAAACUUAGGGGCCAAAAGUGCUAUUUUGAAAUAUAGGGG
rnacentral:lncRNA from 1 species